rnacentral:rRNA from 1 species
CAGCCGCCGCGGGAAUACAGAGGCCUCAAGUGUUGUUCGGAUUCAUUGGGCGUAAAGGGUGCGUAGGUGGCUUGGUAAGUUGAAGGUGAAAUCUCGGGGCUUAACCCCGAAACUGCCUUCAAUACUGCUAGGCUCGAGGACUGUAGAGGAGAAUGGAAUUCACGGUGUAGCAGUGAAAUGCGUAGAUAUCGUGAGGAAGACCAGUGGCGAAGGCGAUUCUCUGGGCAGUUCCUGACACUGAGGCACGAAGGCCAGGGGAGCAAACGGGAUUAGAUACCCCGGUAGUCCCUGUCUCUUAUAC